rnacentral:rRNA from 1 species
UACGGAGGGAGCUAGCGUUAUUCGGAAUUACUGGGCGUAAAGCGCACGUAGGCGGCUUUGUAAGUAAGAGGUGAAAGCCCAGAGCUCAACUCUGGAAUUGCCUUUUAGACUGCAUCGCUUGAAUCAUGGAGAGGUCAGUGGAAUUCCGAGUGUAGAGGUGAAAUUCGUAGAUAUUCGGAGGAACACCAGUGGCGAAGGCGGCUCACUGGUCCGGUACUGACGCUGAGGUGCGAAAGCGUGGGGAGCAAACAGG